GUCCUGGCCCUAAACGAUGAAUGCUUGGUGUGGCGGGUAUCGAUCCCUGCCGUGCCGAAGCUAACGCAUUAAGCAUUCCGCCUGGGGAGUACGGUCGCAAGGCUGAAAACUCAAAAGGAAUUGACGGGGGCCCGCACAAGCGGUGGAACAUGUGGUUUAAUUCGAGGCAACGCGAAGAACCUUACCAGGAUUCGACAUGCCCUCUAUGGAACGCUGAAAGGCGAUCCUUCACUUCGGGUGGGAGGAGCACAGGUGCUGCAUGGCUGUCGU
rnacentral:rRNA from 1 species